rnacentral:rRNA from 1 species
AAAGGAAUAGACGGGGGCCCGCACAAGCAGCGGAGCGUGUGGUUUAAUUCGAUGCAACACGAAGAACCUCACCAAGGCUUGACAUACAAGAAGUAGCGAACCGAAAGGGGAACGACCUGUUAAGUCAGGAGCUUGAACAGGUGCUGCAUGGUUGUCGUCAGCUCGUGCCGUGAGGUGUUGGGUUAAGUCCCGCAACGAGCGCAACCCUCGUUGCCAGUUGUUUUCUCUGGCGAGACUGCCCCGCAAGACGGGGAGGAAGGUGGGGAUGACGUCAAAUCAGCACGGCCCUUAUGCCUUGGGCUACACACACGCUACAAUGGGCGGUACAAUGGGUUACAAUGGGGUGACUCGGAGUUAAUCCCAAAAAUCGCCCUCAGUUCAGAUUGCAGGCUGAAACCCGCCUGCAUGAAGUCGGAGUUGCUAGUAACCGCGUAUCAGCAUGGCGCGGUGAAUACGUUCUCGGGCCUUGUACACACCGCCCGU